rnacentral:tRNA from 1 species
UCCCUGGUGGUCCAGUGGUUAAGACUCCUUGCUUCCAAUGCAGGGGGCAUGAGUUCGAUCCCUCUUUAGGGAA